AUUCCAGCUCCAAUAGCGUAUAUUUAAGUUGUUGCAGUUAAAAAGCUCGUAAUCGGACUUUGGCUGAGAACGGUCGGUCCGCCGUUAGGUGUGCACUGACUGGUCUCAGCUUCCUGGUGAGGAGGCGUGCUUCACGGCCACUUAGUCACCGUGGUUACUUUGAAAAAAUUAGAGUGUUCAAAGCGGGCUUACGCUUGAAUAUAUUAGCAUGGAAUAACACCAUAGGGCUCCUGUCCUAUUUCGUUGGUCUCGGGACGGGAGUAAUGAUUAAGAGGAACAGUUGGGGGCAUUCGUAUUUCGUUGUCAGAGGUGAAAUUCUUGGAUUUAUGAAAGACGAACUUCUGCGAAAGCAUUUGCCAAGGAUGUUUUCAUCA
rnacentral:rRNA from 1 species